CAGCUCUCGAGCUGUGAUUUGUAAAUCCCAGGAAAUGCUUAAUCACUAAAAUCCCAUCUAGUGCUUAGCAUCUCUUCUGUUCCCUCUUGGCCUCUAACAAGAAAGUAUUGCUCACUUGCCUCCUUUUUCCUUCCCAGCUUCUCAGGAUAGUAAAGAGCAGAAGGCCAAGCUUUCCGUGCCCAGGAAGAUAACGGUCUAUAUGAGAAUCAGUGCUUAUUGUGAGAGCUUCCCCCGCAGAGAAGGGAAAGGUCAUGCUACUGCCCUCUUGAUGUAGUUAUUCUGGAUGAGGAAUGUAAAAUCCCACCAGUUAGCCUGUAGCUCUAAAUCAUUUAUAAGGCCGCCAAUUGAUGGGGUUAAUCAAGUUAGAAAUAGGAGUGUUCUUGAAUUCAGCCAUCUUUUUCUGAUAGCUAGUGCUGAAAGCAAGUAGAAGAGCUUGGUUUAACACAGAAGAGGUGUAAUAGUGAGGUGCAGAGCAGACAGAGCCAGUAAUCUCACACUUGUUACAUGUUUGGAGCAAACAAAGCAACAGAUGAAGUUUCCCUAGACAGACUGCUGCAUUUUAGAUAGUAAAUGGAACUGUGCAAGAUAAUAGGAGUUCUGGUCUGUGCAGAUUAAGCACAAGAUUAAUGCUCCUCGUAGGUCUCACACCUAGCUUUGAAAAUUUUAGCCAAGAAUAGUAGUAUAUCCAAUCACAAACAAAAGUUUUGGGGGAAAAAAAGUCAGGCCCUCUGACCUUUCGUAUCUAAGAAAAAUAAGUACACGUUUGUCUUUUUUUUGUUGUUGCUUCCUCUGAGGUUCAUUCCAAAUUUAUGUUCUCCUAUUUGCACACAAGUGCUGGAGAGCCACAAGUGCUUCAUUUUACUGUAAAUGAACGCUAAUUUUCCUUCAUAAUUCCUUGCUUCCCAGAGGUGGACCUUUUAAGACAGAUAUUCCAGACUAGGGAAGAUGGCAUUUACCUCACACUACUGUUCCAGUACGCGUGAUUUAUGCUGUCACAAUACAGCUCUGCAGAUUAGGGAGUGGAAAGAAGUCUUUAGCAACAGCCGAAGAGGCUUCAGAAAUAUGCAAUUGGCAGAAGUGCAGAAACCAUUCCUGAUAAAAUAGUGUCUGGGCUUGUGGCAUUUAACAUGACAAGCAAAACAGUGUUUCUAUCAAGAAAAGAUUUCAUUACAGAAUACUGUUAAAGUCUUGGAAAUGUUUAUAAGGUAUGUUUUAACUUCAUUUUGCACUUAAUGUUAUCUUCCCCUGUAGAAAACUUGAAUUGCGAGGUACGAAAUCCAAGGAUAUUUAGGAAUAUGAAUAGAGUACUCUAGAAGUGAAAUGUUUGAUUUAUCUUUUCAUACUCCUAUAGGUUAUAGCAGUGUCCUAUCUCACAGUAAAUAUUGAGUACGUCAAGUGUAAAGGACAGGCUUUCUGCUAAGAAGCAGCGGCUAUAAUAGAAGAGACGCUUAAGAGUAUCAAGUUGCAGUGAAAAAUAACUUAUUCUCAUUGCAGUAUACUUCCAUGAACACAGAAAAUAUACACUGAGAAACAAAUUAUAGAUUUAUAAAUGGGCUUUGUGCUUUGGACAUUUGUCUUCCCCUAACAAUCAUCUGAGAAAUCUGAGCAGGGGUUGAAAUGCAGUAUUUUGUCAAAG
rnacentral:lncRNA from 1 species